AUUGAACGCUGGCGGCAUGCCUUACACAUGCAAGUCGAACGGAUCUAGGGGCUUGCUCCUAGGUUAGUGGCGAACGGGUGAGUAAUGCAUCGGAACGUACCGUGUAGUGGGGGAUAACCCGGCGAAAGUCGGAUUAAUACCGCAUACGAUCUACGGAUGAAAGCGGGGGACCUUAGGGCCUCGCGCUAUACGAGCGGCCGAUGUCGGAUUAGCUAGUUGGUGAGGUAAAGGCUCACCAAGGCGACGAUCCGUAGCGGGUCUGAGAGGAUGAUCCGCCACACUGGGACUGAGACACGGCCCAGACUCCUACGGGAGGCAGCAGUGGGGAAUUUUGGACAAUGGACGCAAGUCUGAUCCAGCCAUGCCGCGUGAGUGAAGAAGGCCUUCGGGUUGUAAAGCUCUUUUGUCAGGGAGCAAAUCCUGCCUGCUAAUACUAGGCGGGGAUGAGAGUACCUGAAGAAUAAGGACCGGCUAACUACGUGCCAGCAGCCGCAGUAACAC
rnacentral:rRNA from 1 species